rnacentral:rRNA from 1 species
GAGUUUGAUCGUGGCUCAGAACGAACGCUGGCGGCAUGCCUAACACAUGCAAGUCGAACGCUCGUAGCAAUACGAGAGUGGCGGACGGGUGAGAAACGCGUGGGUACCUGCCCUGUAGUACGGAAUAACCGCGGGAAACUGCGGCUAAUACCGUAUACGCCCCAAGGGGAAGAUUUAUCGCUAUAGGAGGGGCCCGCGUCGGAUUAGCUAGUUGGUGAGGUAACGGCCCACCAAGGCGAUGAUCUGUAGCUGGUCUGAGAGGAUGAUCAGCCACACUGGGACUGAGACACGGCCCAGACUCCUACGGGAGGCAGCAGUGGGGAAUAUUGGACAAUGGGCGAAAGCCUGAUCCAGCAAUGCCGCGUGAGUGAUGAAGGCCUUAGGGUUGUAAAGCUCUUUUACCCGGGAUGAUAAUGACAGUACCGGGAGAAUAAGCCCCGGCUAACUCCGUGCCAGCCGCCGCAGUAAU